GCUCAGUAACACGUAGUCAACAUGCCCAGGGGACGUGGAUAACCUCGGGAAACUGAGGAUAAACCGCGAUAGGCCAAGAUUUCUGGAAUGGAUCAUGGCUGAAACCUAUAUGGCCCCUGGAUUGGACUGCAGCCGAUCAGGCUGUUGGUGAGGUAAUGGCCCACCAAACCUGUAACCGGUACGGGCUCUGAGAGGAGGAGCCCGGAGAUGGGCACUGAGACAAGGGCCCAGGCCCUAUGGGGCGCAGCAGGCGCGAAACCUCUGCAAUAGGCGAAAGCUUGACAGGGUUACUCUGAGUGAUGCCCGUUAAGGGCAUCUUUUGGCACUUCUAAAAAUAGUGUAGAAUAAGGGGUGGGCAAGUCUGGUGUCAGCCGCCGCGGUAAUACCAGCACCCCGAGUGGUCGGGACGAUUAUUGGGCCUAAAGCAUCCGUAGCCGGUUCUGCAAGUCUUCCGUUAAAUCCACCUGCUCAACAGAUGGGCCGCGGGGGAUACUGCAGGGCUAGGAGGCGGGAGAGGCAAGCGGUACUCGGUGGGUAGGGGUAAAAUCCGUUGAUCCAUUGAAGACCACCAGUGGCGAAGGCGGCUUGCCAGAAUGCGCUCGACGGUGAGGGAUGAAAGCUGGGGGAGCAAACCGGAUUAGAUACCCGGGUAGUCCCAGCUGUAAACGAUGCAGACUCGGUGAUGGACUAGCUUAAUGCUAGUCCAGUGCCGCAGGGAAGCCGUUAAGUCUGCCGCCUGGGUAGUACGGUCGCAAGACUGAAACUUAAAG
rnacentral:rRNA from 1 species